UUAAGAUCGGGUUGCAGUUUA
rnacentral:siRNA from 1 species